UCGCGGUGAUGGCCGACGUGGUACCGCGGCUGCUCGCCCCCGGCGGCCGGGUGAUCCCGGAGACCGGCGCGAUCGUCGUCGCACCGGCGUGGU
rnacentral:tRNA from 2 species